rnacentral:misc_RNA from 1 species
CAACCCUCAAGCCCCCCGGGCUUGGUGUUGGGGGCCGGCCCCGCGCCGCCCCCGAAAUGCAGUGGCGACCUCGCCGCAGCCUCCCCUGCGCAGUAGCACAACCUCGCACCGGAGCGCGGAGACGGUCACGCCGUGAAACGCCCAACUCCUUCUAG